rfam:Camelus ferus unplaced genomic scaffold scaffold992, whole genome shotgun sequence.
GAGAGUAUAGCUCGGUGGUAGAGCACGUGCUUAGCAAUCACAAGAUCCUGGGUUCAAUCCCCAGUACCUCCA